rnacentral:rRNA from 1 species
AUGAACGCUGGCGGCGUGCCUCAUACAUGCAAGUCGCACGCGCCGAGAAGGGAACUUGUUCCUUUCAACGCGAGUGGCGAACGGGUGAGUAACACGUGGGAAACCUACCCUUCAGCGGGGAUAACCCACGGAAAACGAUGCUAAUACCGCAUAAGUUGUCCAAUCCCAUGGCUGGAAAGGGGAAAGCGGCUUUGGGUGUUACUGGAGGGUUGUUCCGCGGUGCAUUAGCUAGACGGUGGGGUAACGGCCUACCCUGGCCUUGAUGCAUAGCCGACCUGAGAGGGUGAUCGGCCACAAUGGGACUGAGACGCGGCCCAAACUCCUACGGGAGGCAGCAGUAGGGAAUCUUCCGCAAUGGACGCAAGUCUGACGGAGCAACGCCGCGUGUGUGAAGAAGGUCUUCGGAUCGUAAAGCACUGUUAUCAGAGAAGAAUAGCCUAUAGAGUAACUGUUAUAGGUUUGACGGUAACUGAUCAGAAAGCCACGGCUAACUACGUG